ensembl:lncRNA novel transcript
CCUACUGAGGGAGAUAAUCCAGCAUUGUAUAUUUUUGUGCACAGAGGAAAGCAAGAUACUCAUCAGAGACUCAGCUAUUCCUCCAUUCCGAAGCAUCCCAGAGGAAUUUCUGAAGGCAGGAGGGAAUCCUGAGAGACAGAUGAGCAGAACAGAAGAAGACUUCUGUGGACAGAUUCAGGAAGAAAGAAGACUCUCAUUGUCUGAAGGAAAAAAAAACAACAUGCCAGGCUUACUGACAGAAGCUUUUACAGGAAACAAAACCCACGACAACUUCUCUCGUCAAGGGCUCUUCAGACUGUUUCUAAACACUCACAGGAAGGCCAGGCUGACAUUUUACACAUGAUUGACUGAGAGCGCUAUGCUUGCUUCUGGAUAUGUGCGUGCUUGUAUACGUGUGCAACUGUGUGUGUGCACGCAUAUGCCUGCAUGCAAGCCUACGGGUGCUUACCUGGUCCUGUAGCUCAGCCUAAACAAAGAUUCAGACUUGCUUAUGCAUAAAUAAUGAGUUGGCGGGGCCAGAAGCUGCCUAGGGUCUAUUUAUAUAGAUUGAUUUGCAUGUGCCAAGGGGAAUUGGGAAGAUACAGUGGAGAAGACAGCCUGGUGAUUGGUUCAGGGGCCAGGAUAGCAGCUGAACCCAUGCAAUCCUCCCUGAGACUUUAGUGAGUCUGCAAGGAAUGAGCCCUCUCUGUUUGCAAGACCUCCAAGGCCAGCAGGAUAAAAGCUUGGCAACCGUGAAGUGAGAGUCAUCCUUAGAAUGAAGCCAGCACAGAGGAGAGCAGAAGAAGGAUGGAGAGAGAGACUAGUCCUAAUGUCCUUGUGUGGUGGCUUGGCUAGCACCUGCUGUGCCUAUCUUCCCACUGGGAGCCUUAGUCUCAUGCCCAGUUGAUCCCUCCCCUGGUGUCAACUAAGCUUGAGUUGGAUUAUCUGCUACUUGCUGAUGCUCCACUCACAGUCUCCCUGCAUUAUCCCAGCACCUGAGACAUUUCUGAUUAGAUUGGCAUCCAUGGGGGUGUGAAAGUCACAUUCUCAGAGAAAGAAAGUGAUGAACCACCUGUACUGCAGAACCCACCAGUAACAACCCCACCCUACACCCUAGUCCAGGUUCCUCAGCUGUCUGUCAAAUCCAGGAGCCAGGACACCAGGUGGAGUCCUGCAACCUUUUGCAAUCUCUGUGUCAGAGGUAUUAGAACAAGAAUGACUCCAUCUUGAAAACAGGCUGGGUAGAAUGAGGCUUAGACUUACUGGGCUGCAUUCCCAAGAGGUUAAGGCAUUCCUAGUCACAGAAUGAGAUAGACGGUUGGCACAAGAUACAGAUCAUAAAGACCUUACUGAUAAAACAGGUUGCAGUUAAGAAGCCGGCCAAAACCCAUCAAAACCAAGAUGGUGACAAGAGUGACCUCUGGUCAUCCUCACAGCUCAUUAUAAGCUAGUUACAAUAUAUUAGCAUGCUAAAAGACACUCCCACCAGUGCUGUGACAGUUUACAGAUGCCAUGGCAACAUCAGGAAAUUACCCUAUAUGGUCUAAAAAGGCUAAGAACCCUCAGUUCUGGGAGUUGUCCACUCCUUACUGUGAAAACUCAUGAAGAAUCAACCUCUUGUUUAGCAUAUAAUCAAGAAAUAACCAUAAAAAUGGGCAACCAGAAGCUCUUGAGAAUGCUCUGCCUAGGGAGUAGCCAUUCUUUUAUUCCUUUACUGUC